UUUAUAUUGGGAUAUAGAGAGCAGG
rnacentral:piRNA from 1 species